AAGGAUCAUUAUUGAAGGCUUUAAACGCCGACACUGUGAAAAGCCGAGCUUGCUCGGCAAUGCUUGGGCAACCCUAAGUUGCCCAACAUAAACCCUUAACCUUAUGUCUGAAUUAGGAAAUUUAAAACUUUCAACAACGGAUCUCUUGGUUCUCGCAUCGAUGAAGAACGCAGCAAAGCGCGAUAGGUAAUGCGAAUUGCACACGUGAGUCAUUGAAUCUUUGAACGCACAUUGCGCUACUAGGUUCUCCUAGUAGCAUGCUUGUUGGAGCGCCGAUCUUUCUUCCUUCCGUUUUCGGAAAGAGAUCUGCUCCUUUUAGGAGUUAAAUAGAUGGAAGUGCACACGUUAGGUAAUCUGUGCUUACUAACUCUUUUUGGCCCCCAAUCAAGCAAGACUACCCGCUGAACUUAA
rnacentral:rRNA from 1 species